UACGGAGGGGACUAGCGUUGUUCGGAAUUACUGGGCGUAAAGCGCACGUAGGCGGAUUUGUAAGUCAGGGGUGAAAUCCCGGGGCUCAACCUCGGAACUGCCUUUGAUACUGCAAAUCUUGAGUUCGGAAGAGGUGAGUGGAAUUGCGAGUGUAGAGGUGAAAUUCGUAGAUAUUCGCAGGAACACCAGUGGCGAAGGCGGCUCACUGGUCCGAUACUGACGCUGAGGUGCGAAAGCGUGGGGAGCAAACAGG
rnacentral:rRNA from 1 species